rnacentral:rRNA from 1 species
GAACGAAGCGCCCGCACGGAUUCCCUCGGGAUGAAGCGCGGAUGACUGAGUGGCGGACGGGUGAGUCACGCGUGGGCAACCUGCCCCGUGCCGGGGGACAACAGCCGGAAACGGCUGCUAAUACCGCAUGAUCCGGGAGGGCCGCAUGGCCCUGCCGGGAAAGCUCCGGCGGCACGGGAUGGGCCCGCGUCUGAUUAGUUUGUUGGCGGGGUAACGGCCCACCAAGACUGCGAUCAGCAGCCGGCCUGAGAGGGCGGCCGGCCACAUUGGGACUGAGACACGGCCCAGACUCCUGCGGGAGGCAGCAGUGGGGAAUAUUGCACAAUGGGGGAAACCCUGAUGCAGCGACGCCGCGUGGGCGACGAAGCGCUCCGGCGCGUAAAGCCCUGUCAGCAGGGAAGAAAAAAGACAGUACCUGACCAAGAAGCCCCGGCUAACUACGUGCCAGCAGCCGCGGUAAUACGUAGGGGGCAAGCGUUAUCCGGAUUCACUGGGCGUAAAGGGAGCGCAGGCGGCACGGCAAGUCUGGUGUGAAAGCCCGGGGCCCAACCCCGGGACUGCAUUGGAAACUGCCGGGCUGGAGUGCCGGAGGGGUAAGCGGAAUUCCUGGUGUAG